UUUCUCUUGCAGGAUUUUUCGCUCCCUCUUGUUCUCCACGCUGUUUUUCAUCAGACUGCUGGGGUACCUGAUCUUCCAUUUAAGUUUUAUAAAUCCCGACCUCCUGGUCAAUGCACUGCCCAAGAUUCUGAGCAGGGACGUCUUGUGGAAGCUGCGAUGUUUCCUCUUUCCAUCUCUCACACUUGAGACAGAAGACAUGUUACCCCACUGAUCCCAGGCUGUACCUGAGGGCAGUGGAAGGCAGAAGGGACACAGGCUCACAAAUGGGAGGUAGCAAAAUCUGUGGAGGGAAGAGGUUUGCCUCAGUGUUUCCCUUGAGCUUUGCCUACUUAGUGACUGUCUGUCACCAUGUCACUUUUCCAAGAUUAACCUUGCCCAGUAAAGAACUCUGUCAAAAGUUUCCAGAUGAA
rnacentral:lncRNA from 1 species